GAUGAACGCUGGCGGCGUGCCUAAUACAUGCAAGUCGAGCGAACAGACGAGGAGCUUGCUCCUCUGACGUUAGCGGCGGACGGGUGAGUAACACGUGGAUAACCUACCUAUAAGACUGGGAUAACUUCGGGAAACCGGAGCUAAUACCGGAUAAUAUAUUGAACCGCAUGGUUCAAUAGUGAAAGACGGUUUUGCUGUCACUUAUAGAUGGAUCCGCGCCGCAUUAGCUAGUUGGUAAGGUAACGGCCUACCAAGGCAACGAUGCGUAACCGACCUGAGAGGGUGAUCGGCCACACUAGAACUGAGACACGGUCCAGACUCCUACGGGAGGCAGCAGUAGGGAAUCUUCCGCAAUGGGCGAAAGCCUGACGGAGCAACGACGCGUGAGUGAUGAAGGUCUUCGGAUCGUAAAACUCUGUUAUUAGGGAAGAACAAAUGUGUAAGUAACUAUGCACGUAUUGACGGUACCUAAUCAGAAAGCCACGGCUAACUACGUG
rnacentral:rRNA from 1 species